GAGCUGCUUUUGUGCACUUCGGUCCACCUCUGCAGGUGCCCUUUGUCUCUGGGUCCUACCCUGACCUCUCCCGGGUACUCACAGAGUCUGCGUACUGGGCGGUUAGCAUUAUCAGCUGCCUCUUGAACACAGAUGAAGAUGUCCACCUCUUUGUGAUGACCUCAGCUCUUACCUGUACAUCAAGACUAUUCUGGUAAGCAAUUGGGAGCUUGAGUCCUAAUUUUAGAUUCUCAAAUGAUAAAGAGCCUGACUGGCCCAUAUUGUCUCAGGUAUCUGUCUACUCCUUGUCUAAUCCACCAUGGUGAGACAGGUAGAAACUUUGUAUAUCAUAACCUAGGCUGGUGGGGCCAACACUGUGGGUAGAAUCAUUCCCAGUUAAGGGGUUAUGUGGGUGAGGCAUGUCAAAAAUAUCUCCCGCAUCUACCUUUGUCAAGGUAUUAUGUAAUGAGAAGAUCAUUGAUGACACUAAUCCUGAAUAGGUACAAUUUGGGGGAAAAUGUGUUGAAACCUUAACCCCAAUGUUACUGUUUUUGAAAAUUGGGCCUUUAAGGAGGUAGUUAAGGUUAAAUUAGGCCACAUAUGAAGUUCUAAUUCAACAUAAUGGAGGUCAUUGUAAGAAGAGAGAGAAACCAUGUAUGUGCUCAUACAGGAAAAAGCCUAUUUGAGGAUACAGAGAAAAGAUGGACAUCUGCAAGCCAAAGACAGAGACCUUAGGAGAACCCAAACUUGCUGACACCUUGAUCUUGGACUUACAGCCUUCAGAACUGUGAGAAAUAAAUUUUUGUUGUUUAAGUCAC